GACGAACGCUGGCGGCGUGCCUAAUACAUGCAAGUCGAGCGGAUGGAAGGAAGCUUGCUUCCUAAAGUCAGCGGCGGACGGGUGAGUAACACGUGGGCAACCUGCCCCUAAGAUCGGGAUAACUUCGGGAAACCGGAGCUAAUACCGGAUAUGAUUAUGUCUCACAUGAGAUGUAAUGGAAAGACGGUUUCGGCUGUCACUUAGGGAUGGGCCCGCGGCGCAUUAGCUAGUUGGUGAGGUAACGGCGCACCAAGGCGACGAUGCGUAGCCGACCUGAGAGGGUGAUCGGCCACACUGGGACUGAGACACGGCCCAGACUCCUACGGGAGGCAGCAGUAGGGAAUCUUCCGCAAUGGACGAAAGUCUGACGGAGCAACGCCGCGUGAGUGAAGAAGGUUUUCGGAUCGUAAAACUCUGUUGUUAGGGAAGAACAAGUACCAUAGUAACUGAUGGUACCUUGACGGUACCUAACCAGAAAGCCACGGCUAACUACGUGCCAGCAGCCGCCGUAA
rnacentral:rRNA from 1 species